UAAAAUCAUACACCUUUCCCAGCUGAAGUACAGGAAAUGGGCUACACCACUGGGACACUGAAUUCUGAAAUGUGCAGAGUGGAGCCCUAGGAUGAGACUGGGAAGAUAAAGCGGAGAAAAGAUGAGAGAGAGGAGCAAAAAAAGAAAAAAGGAAGAAAGCACUUUUAGUGCUUACCAUGGCCAGACAAUGUAAUGCAUUGGCAUUCAUCGUCAUGAGACAGUUCGGUCUGGGCUUGAAAUUUAGGCUUCCUGAAUCAAACCUUGGCUCUGCUCUUACCAGCUGUGAUGACUUGAGCAAGUUACUUAGCCUCUUUGUGCCUCAGUUUCCUCACCUUGAAGGGUUGAUGAGAGGUUUAAAUGGGAUAAGACUGGGAAAGAGCACAGAGGAACCAACUGGUAGAGCAACAAUCAAUAUAUGCUGGCUAUAACUACUGAUUAUCACCUUUAAAGAAAUAAUUCACCACGGAAUCAAGGAGAGAGGUUUUCCUAUAUAGGACAUUGGCUGCUCAUUCAUUCUUAUUCAAUAAAUAUUUAUUGGAAACUUUCUAUAAGAUAGGUCCUUGUCUAACUUCUAGAGAUAUAGCAGUGAACAAAACAACCAAGUCCCUGUUUAUAAGAAGACUUCUUUCUACCGCUCUGUAAGGCUGGCUCCUCAGAAGAGAAAUGCUUACAUAUUCCUUUGAAAUAAGACAGGUUUCUGUGAAAGACAAGGAGGCUGCAGAUCUACGUUUCAGAGUCAACGUAAGAUUGAAGUAUUCAGCUGUUUCUUAAACAAUUAUUUACUGAACUCAAACUCUAAGCAUCAAAGAUACAGCAACAAACAAGAGAGACUUGGAAUCUUCAAGGAAUUUGCUAACAAAAUACUAUAUACUAAAGGACUUUUCUUUCCCUUGCAAAAGGGAAUGCACUCUCUGAAGAAGCAUAUGCCAGCACUGGUGAGAUACAGUUCUUCAACAAGUAAGGAUCUGUCUACAUUCGGGGCACGUCUUGGGGAAGCCUUGAAGGGAAUCGUGCCUGGAGUCCCAUCUGACUUAACUCAUCAUCACAGUCCUUCAUCACAACAUAAUGAGUGUUAUUACUUCCUCAUGUGGCCUGUGGGCUUUGUUAAUUAAAGAAUGGAAAGUUCAAAGAUGGAAAUCGUCAGAGGCUUCCAAGAUGGCUGAAUAGGAACAGCUCCAGUCCGCAGCUCCCAGCAAGAUUGAUGCAGAAGGCGGAUGAUUUCUGCAUUUCCAACUAAGUGCCAUGACUUAAGGAGUGAAGAGAGGGCAUAGAGAACAAGCAGAGUAUGCAGGGCAUAUGCUGAGAUAAGAAACUGGAUCUGAAACAAGUUGAAUACUUGCAGAGAAUCAUGGGAACCAUUAUAACAAAGAAGUCAAGAGUGUUGGUGUGGAGUGGACCUUGGUUUGAAUACUCAGCUCUGCCACUUACUAGCUGUAGGCUCAUAUGCAAGUUACUAUCCUCAUCUGUUAAAAAGGAAUAAUAUCUAAUGUUAUAUAAAAUGUAAAAGUUAUUUCACACAAUGCCAUUCACAUAGUAAAUGUUCAAUAAAAGCAAAAACCUCAGGACAUAUAUAAGUGGCAAUGUGAAAUUAAUACAGCAGAAGCUCAGUUCACACAGAUGUUAAUCCUUAAACAAGCCUUGCAUUGUAUGAGUAUCCCACAAAAGGAGUAAGGGAAGAAGAUCUUACAUCACUGGAGUGAGUGACUACCAUGGACCAGCCACCGUUACUCACUUUACUUCAUUUAACCCGCACAAUAGCCUCAUGAGGUAGAUAUCAUCACCAUUUUGCAGAUGAGAAAGCUGAAGCUAAGCAAAGUUGACCUGACCAAAAUCACAUAGCAAUUAAGAUAGGAGUCCAGCUUCGUCUCAUUCCAAUAUGAGUGCGUUUUCCUCUUUUCCAUUGGCUCUCAAAGUUUGGUCUUAAAGGAGCUGUAUCAGCAUCACCUGGGAACUUAUUAGAACUGCACCUUCUCAGCCCUACCCCAAACCCACUGGGUCAGAAACUCUGGGGUUGGGGCCUAGCCAUCUGUGUUUCACACUCAGACUGACACACGAUCAUUUCUGAUAACCACUGCUCUAUGACAUGCGUUUCCUCUUCAGUUAGGAUCCGACUCCUUAUUUUGUAUUUAACAAGGAGUAUGAAACAAAGCCCGGGCUCUGAAUUUGUAUUCCUCAGCAAUAAUGUGUCAAGUAAUCUUAAACAAGCAAACCCCUGGCCCAUUCCAGCCCAUAGUGCAUGUGCGGAAGAAAAGUAGAAAUUAAUAUUGGGGCCAUUUUGCAUAUUCCUAAACCCGUAAGCUAGUCUCUUUGGAGAACGUUAAAGCUUUGCUAUUGUCACAACUAGUGGUGUCACUUCCCACCAUUCCUGUUAGUCUUGGGCAACAUGAUAUAUUUAUUAAGCUCCUACUAUGUGCCACUGGGAGAAGAGUGAAGAACAAAAUCAGCAAAGCCUCCCCUCAGGGAGCAUAUGAUCCGAUCUUUCCCAGCAGUGGACUCUUGUUGGUCAUUCCUAGAAUCCCAAGACCCUUCUCUUUUAUCGUUCCCCCCACCAAACCUAUCUACAUUUAGAAUGGGAAUAACUAUAACUUCUAGGCAAGUAACUGUAACUCCUAACUGAGAUCAUUUACUCAAACUCCCCUGGAUCACACAUAGCCUGUCCACCCAAUGUAGUAUAGCUGACUCCUCUGGUCUGAAUGUGCCCCCUCAAAAUUCACAUAUUGAAACCCUGACCCCCAAGUCGACAGUAAUUAGGAGGUGAGGAUUUGGGGAGGUGACUGUGACUCAUGCCCUUAUAAAAGACGCCCCAGAGAGACCCCUCACCCCUUCCACCGUGUGAGCACACAGCAAAAACUACCUUGUAUGAACCAGAAAGUAAGUCCUCACUAGACAAUGAAUCUGCCAGCACCUUGAUCUUCCACUCCCCAGCCUCCAGAACUGUGGGAAACAAGUUUAUAAACCACCCAGUUUAUGAUACGUUGUUAUAGCAGCCUGAACAGACUAAGACACUGACCAAAUGAUAAGGAUCAGAGAAAAGCCAAUCAAGCUUGGAGAAACCAUUUUCCAAGCACCCACUGUACCAGCAGCCCAAGAAUCAUUCAGAAUUGUCCUGGCCAUUACGCUGUGUGCCCAUGGAUCUCAGCAUGAGUCUGAAGAAUCAGCUCUGCCAAGCCAGGACCCAGACCCUCCAGCAUUUUAGUCCAAUGUUCUCUGCACUCCCCGGGUGAUGGUGUGAUGCUGGAGUUACCACAAGUCAUCAGCCUCACUAGCCAAAGGGCAAAUACCCUGAAUUUGCUCUUUAUUGACUAUAUGAGAACCACAUUGCUUCACACUGAAAACAAGUACUAUUUGAAGUAUAAAAGGACUCCUAAUCUAUAUUCCACCUGCCGCUAGCUCUGUCUUUGAAAGCCAUUGCCUUCACUGAAUGAUUCCAGCUGGUGCUCUCCUCUGUGCUGGCUUUUAUGGGCUAUAAGGAUGGAUACACAAGGUGUAGGUCAGUUUUUUAGGGAAUGUAGAAGCCUUGCCCUCUCAACUCAACACAUGCUUCUCUUUUCUUCUUCCCUCUAUCCUGGAAUUAAUGGGGAUAAAUGUUGCUAAAGCAUCUAGUUAAAUGUUCUUAGAUAAUUCUGGUCUGUACACUGAUUGACCAGAAAACAGAAAUGACUUCAUCUGAAAGAAAACUAAUAUAUGUGGGAAAGAGGAGUGAUCGGCUGUAAUAUUUAUGUUUUCCUGUCUCUUGUGUGAAUUCACAGGCAACUUCCAGAAUAAAAUCCUC
rnacentral:lncRNA from 10 species